GAUGAACGCUGGCGGCGUGCCUAAUACAUGCAAGUCGAGCGAACGGACGAGAAGCUUGCUUCUCUGAUGUUAGCGGCGGACGGGUGAGUAACACGUGGAUAACCUACCUAUAAGACUGGGAUAACUUCGGGAAACCGGAGCUAAUACCGGAUAAUAUUUUGAACCGCAUGGUUCAAAAGUAAAAGACGGUCUUGCUGUCACUUAUAGAUGGAUCCGCGCUGCAUUAGCUAGUUGGUAAGGUAACGGCUUACCAUGGCAACGAUGCGUAGCCGACCUGAGAGGGUGAUCGGCCACCCUGGAACUGAGACACGGUCCAGACCACUACGGGAGGCAGCAGUAGGGAAUCUUCCGCAAUGGGCGAAAGCCUGACGGAGCAACGCCGCGUGAGUGAUGAAGGUCUUCGGAUCGUAAAACUCUGUUAUUAGGGAAGAACAUAUGUGUAAGUAACUGUGCACAUCUUGACGGUACCUAAUCAGAAAGCCACGGCUAACUACGUG
rnacentral:rRNA from 1 species